rnacentral:lncRNA from 1 species
UAUGCUUCUUCAGAUUCAGCUUGUGUGAUAUUGUUUGUAGCUGUAUCAUCCUGUAUAUGUACUGACACAUGUAUGCCUAAUAUAUGUUUGUGUUGCAUGCUACCCAUUUCGUAGCGCAUACCUGAAUGCAUUGAUGUAUAACAUGAUUUAGUGUAAAAGGAUGUGAGCCUAUCAAAUAUCAUUUGCUAUUUUAUUGCCAAAUAAUGACCCAGAUUUAAAUAGGUUGACAUUUAUUAACCUUCUUGCAGCUAAAUCUUCAACCUAAUCAUGUAGUUACCAUGUCUACUUGUCAAAUUCUUUAUUUCUGAUAGUGCUCUACAUAAAUGAAAAUGAAUGCCAUAAUUCGCUAAAGUUUUAUUGCAAGUAAGAAAUUUAGGAACAUGGAAGGGCACAUUUUCUGAGUAGGAAAUGGAAUGUAUGUCGCUCAUCUAGUCCUUCAAAAAUUGGAAUGUGUUAUAAACUAAAAUUUAAUAUUUCACAAAAGAAACAUGUGCUUGUUCUGUGUUUUCUGGUUUUAAUCAUAUUGUUUGGUUGUAAAUGAGAACUGUUGGAAUGAUUGAUGCACUUUUGGCCCAACUCCCCUGUAUUACUGUGUUUACUGAAAUUGGGAACUGAUGUCAUCAAUUAUGUUCUCCACAAAGCUGAUAUAUAGUUGAAUAGGUGACCAUCUAAGUGUCGAGCUUACCUGAAAUGUAGUUUUAAUUUGGCAAUUCCCUUGUAACUUCCAGCUUUGCCAUUUUCAUCCUUGUUUGCUUGGAUCAGGGGGGACCUAGGUUGCCAGUCAUGGCGCCUUCACCUGUUGAACAAGAAGCACCUAAGUUGGGACAUGCUCCAAGGGCUCCCUCCUCACCAUGGAUGCCCUUUUCGAUGCUUUUUGCUGCCAUUUCCACAAAAGUGCCUCGUUCCGACAUGGAUUUGG